rnacentral:rRNA from 1 species
UGAUUUCUUCGGAAUGAAACCAGAUAUGACUUAGUGGCGGACGGGUGAGUAACACGUGAGCAACCUGCCUUUCAGAGGGGGAUAACGGCUGGAAACGGUCGCUAAUACCGCAUAAGCGCACAGGGUCGCAUGACCUGGUGUGAAAAACUCCGGUGGUAUGAGAUGGACCCGCGUCUGAUUAGCCAGUUGGUGGGGUAACGGCCUACCAAAGCGACGAUCAGUAGCCGACCUGAGAGGGUGACCGGCCACAUUGGGACUGAGACACGGCCCAAACUCC